GUGACGACGCUGGCGGCGUGCCUAACACAUGCAAGUCGAACGGUAACAGGGCUAGCUUGCUAGCCGCUGACGAGUGGCGCACGGGUGAGUAACGCGUGGGUAACCUGCCCAUCAGUGGGGAAAAACUCCGGGAAACSGGAGCUAAUACCGCAUACGACCUUCGGGUGAAAGAGGGGGAUCUUCGGACCUCUCGCUGAUGGAUGGGCCCGCGUCCGAUUAGCUUGUUGGUGAGGUAAUGGCUCACCAAGGCUCCGAUCGGUAACUGGUUUGAGAGGAUGAUCAGUCACACUGGAACUGAGACACGGUCCAGACUCCUACGGGAGGCAGCAGUGGGGAAUUUUGCACAAUGGGCGAAAGCCUGAUGCAGCGACGCCGCGUGCGGGAAGAAGGCCUUCGGGUUGUAAACCGCUUUCAACAGGGAAGAAGGAAUGAGGGCUAAUACCCCUCUGCCUUGACGGUACCUGUAGAAGAAGCACCGGCUAAUUUCGUGCCAGCAGCCGCGGUAAUACGAAAGGUGCAAGCGUUGUUCGGAUUUACUGGGCGUAAAGCGCGCGUAGGCGGCUAAUCAAGUCGGAUGUGAAAUCCCGGGGCUCAACCCCGGAACUGCAUUCGAAACUGGUUGGCUAGAGUUCGAGAGGGGGAUGCGGAAUUCCGAGUGUAGCAGUGAAAUGCGUAGAUAUUCGGAGGAACACCUGAGGGCGAAGGCGGCAUCCUGGAUCGACACUGACGCUGAGGUGCGAAAAGCGUGGGUAGCAAACAGGGAUUAGAAUACCCUGGGUAGUYCACGCCCUAAACGAUGUCUACUAGCCGUUGCGGGUAUCGACCCCUGCAGUGGCAAAGCUAACGCGAUAAGUAGACCGCCUGGGGAGUACGGCCGCACUCGA
rnacentral:rRNA from 1 species